AUUGAACGCUGGCGGCAGGCCUAACACAUGCAAGUCGAGCGAGCGGCGGACGGGUGAGUAAUGUCUGGGAAACUGCCUGAUGGAGGGGGAUAACUACUGGAAACGGUAGCUAAUACCGCAUACCAUCAGAUGUGCCCAGAUGGGAUUAGCUAGUAGGUGGGGUAAUGGCUCACCUAGGUGACGAUCCCUAGCUGGUGUGAGAGGAUGACCAGACAAACUGGAACUGAAACAGGAUCGAGACUCCUACGAGAGGCAGACGUGGGGAAUAUUGCACAAUGGGCGCAAGCCUUAUGCAGCCAUUCCGGGGGUGUGAAGAAGGCCUUCGGUUUGUAAAGCACUUUCAGCGGGGAGGCGUUACCCGCAGAAGAAGCACCGGCUAACUCCGUGCCAGCGGCCGCGGUAAUAC
rnacentral:rRNA from 1 species